AUGUUCUUCUGGAGGCUUCCGCAUGAUAGAAUAAACACAGGGAACCUACUAAGAAGGAAAACAUUUCACUUGUAUAGUUAUAAUUGUGCUGUAAACAACUGCCAGCAGGACGAAACUUUGCAACAUCUCUUUUGGACAUGUCCCUUUGCUGCUCAAUGUUGGGACCUGGUUUGCCCUUCAAGACAAGUGAAUGUUUCAGUUCUGGAAGCUUUUGCUGACAUCAGGCAGAAAUUACAUAUCCCUUUCUUCUUGGAAAUAAUUAUCCUUGCAUCUUGGGCCAUAUGGAUUUCCAGGAAUAACUUCAUUUUCCAAGCCAUUCCCCCUAGCAUUCAGAGAUGGAAAGCCACUUUCUUGGAAGAACUCAACUUGCUCAGAUUUAGGAUUAAGAGGAGAUAUGCUAGUGCCUAUUGUUCCUGGCUGGAUAAUUUGGCUUUGUAA
rnacentral:rRNA from 1 species